CGUUGAGCUAACCAGUACUAAUUGCCCGUGAGGCUUGACUAUAUAACGCCAAAACGGAGUU
rnacentral:rRNA from 1 species